rnacentral:miRNA from 1 species
CAAGUGCUUGAUUUUGUUGUGA